ACUAAUUUUAAUUCUUAGCAUAGUUGUUUGCAUAUUUUAGGCAAAGAAGAGGAAAAGCUAUUGUUAGGUAUUACUGUUGUGUAAAAUGAGUGAGAAGUUUUGAAAAUAGAAGAUCGAAUCAGCCUACCGGAAAAAUAAAAAUUAGCCAUGUUUUCUCAUGUCCCCAGUUUUAUCUUGAAAUUUAGAGGUAUUUGUUUUGGUAUUUCCGUGUGUGAAAUCUGUUUACAUAUUUUUUUCUGCUUUUGUCAUUGUAGGCACGAUUACAGAAACUGAAAAGGCACCAUAACAAAUGUCUAGAACACUAUGUGAUGGAAGACAAUGAACGAAGGAGACUUGAAAAAGAACGGACCUUGCUAUUGUGUAAAGUUAGUCAGAUUAAUGAAAAGCUUGAAUCUGGAUCUGGAUUACCUUCUGCCUCUGAUGAAUUUGGUCACCUAUCAGCUGAUCAAGUGGAGGAGACUGUGAUGAACACUUACAGUUCAUCAGAUGUUUCUGAAUACACUGACUAUAGUGAUGUAGACUAUGUGCCAGAUAGCGACGGAAGCUCCUCUGAUGAGUCCAACCAAAGUAUUUCUCUAUCUCCCGAUGUCAAGAAAACCCAAAGCAGCCAAAGAUUUCCAGAAUUAUCAAGACGAAAACAACAGAUUCACAAUGAGCCUACUAA